rnacentral:lncRNA from 1 species
GCCCAUCAGAGGGAUAUUUCCCAGGUUUGCUUGCAUAAGGUAAGAAUGAAUUAAUGUAAAUUGUUACCUGCGACAGGUGUUGCAUACUCUUUAUUUUUACUUCUUUGUUUAAAUCUAGGUCAGAGGAUGGUGGGUUGUUUUUUAUUUAUUUAUUUUGAGAAAAUAAAGUUUUCCAUUUAACACACAUCUACCAGGUGACUGUUGUUUUUAAUGUUUUUAGCAGGAAAACUACAUUCCCAUGCCCUUUAUUUGUAACCUAUCCUUGUUUUGUGCAAAUAUGUCCCUGAAACUCUUUUAGGUUGGCCAUUUUGCUGUUGUGGGAGGAGCAUCAGUUGAGGCAUGGACUGUAGUCUAACCAAUGAGCCGCCUCUCAGAUGAGUUGGGCAGCAGGAGACUGAAAGAUGAGCCUGAACAAAAAUCUCCAUUUAGAGGCACCAGGUGUGCAUGUUUGAUGCCUUACAACAAUAACAACAUGAAAGCUGAGAAAGAGGAGUCCUCAGAGAUCAUCUUUGCUGUGACGGUGCAAAAACGGCAUGGUUGUGCCCCUGAACAGCUUGAGGCAUUGCCUUGUGCUGGAAAGCCCUGAGAUCAUCAGACUAUCUGUUUAAUAAGCAGUAAGGACGUCCUUUUUGAAUCAGGAAAGUAGCUUCAAGUGCUGAACAGCAAACUGUGAUAAUGUGUCAGUCUGUUGUACUUUGGUGUUUCUGCCUUUGUUGGUGAGUCUAUUUGCAUUUACUUCCACUUUACAGAUCCAGUUUGUGUUUGUUGUCAGUUUAACCAGAUCUUCUGGCAUUUGCUUAAAUUCGGAAUGAAUUAUUCCAUGUAAUUAAGUCAUUUUGUCAUCCAUUUUAUCAUAUUCUGUGCCCAUGUUGUAUUUUAAGCUCUGUCUCCCGGUUUCACAGACAGGGCUUAAGCCUAGUCCCAGACUAAAAUGCAUGUUUGAGCUGUCUUAACUGAAAAUAACUUGCUCUGACAGAUCUUAAAAUGUGUCUGUCAUUGUUUUGUCUCAAGAUGCACACCAGUAUUGUGUUUUUCCUCAGGCAUUUUUUAUAAAAAACUUUAAAUAUCCUAAUUUUACUAGGUCUAAUCCUUUAUUAAUAGUUCAUCCCUGUCUGUGAAUCAGGGCCUAUAUCUAUUGAGGGCACCACAAUUUUUUUGUUUGUUUGUUUUUGUUUUGUUUUAAAUAAAAUAAUCACUUGUUUUACUCAAAUGUGAUGCUAUUUUCCAGUUCAAAUAGUUUGUUUAAAUCAUGUGGGGGCAAAAAUAAAUAUUUGCAUGUAAACUGAAGGAUGUUGUUUACUUUGAGUGACAUUUUGAUGCAAAACCAUAUUAAUUGCAAUCCUGCAUGUUCUCUGAUUGAAAAGAGUAAAAAUCAAGAUCAGUUUGAUCAUAUUUUCAUGAAGAUUGAAUGUUAAAUAAGUGGUUUAGCUGCAGUCGGAUACUUUUAAUUCGUGAAUGAAUCGUUUGGUGCGAUUUGUGAACCGAUUUAAAAGGUUCAUUGAAAAGAAUCAGUUCGUUCUUGAAUCAGACACCGCUUCUGCGUGUCGGAGCAUGUGAUGAUAUAUAAUGAGUAACGAUAUGUUUUAUGAAAUGUAGUGAAGUAAAAAGUAUGAUCUUAUGCUUUGGAGUGAAGUGAAGUAAAAGUUACUCAAAAUAAAAAUACUCCAGUAAAGUACAGAUAGUUGAAGAAUGUAAGUAAAGCUACUCCGUUACUGUCCACCUCUGUUCCACAGACAGUGUCACCAAGACACAACAUCAUGUCAUAAGUAUUACACAUCUAGAUGUCAAGACUACAUGAACAAAGUCUGCUUUAUAUCACUGUCUGCAUCCGGGCCUAUUCAGAGAGGCCUUUUGUUCAGGGCCACUAUAACAGCAGGAAUCAGGCUUUUCCAGAAGCCAGCCCUUCUGCACCUUAGUAUCCCAGGUGAACAGGAUUUUAUUUUAUUUUUUUCAGUCAUUAAAACAAAAUAAAUAAAUAAAAAUAAUUCAUAUAGACAGUAAGUACUUUUUUGGUUCCUGAAUGAAUCAGUGCUUUGAAAUAAUUUGUUUAAUGAUUCUUAAAGACUUAUUUGUGCCACUGGCAUAACAAUGUCAUGUGCAGAAAGAGUCUCUUUAAGUCCCCCACUACUAAAUUACUGUCUUGUAACGUGAAACCAAGAUGUUUUAAAUUUAAAUAAUUUAAUAACACUUCCUCCAGUGAAAAAGUGCAUCUCCUGUUGUCUCUCACAUCAGAAUCCAGACACAUAUUUGUUUAGAUCUGUUUAAACACUGCUUGAUCUGUGCAGAUUUCUCUCCUGAUUCACACCAGAACACUUUUUCACUGGAGGAAGUGUUAUUAUGGAUUAUGGACUCUAUGUAUUUGAGUUAAAAACAUCUUAAUGCUGGAUGUGUUUCAUCUUUUGUCUUCUCCAGAUGUUAACUGAUGGACUGGAGUGCUGUGGAUUACUUGUGGAUUAUUGUGUAUGUUUUUAUCAGUUGUUUAGAUCUGUUUAAACACUGCCUGAUCUGUGCAGAAUUUCUCUCCUGAUUCACACCAGAACACUUUUUCACUGGAGGAAGUGUUAUUAUGGAUUAUGGACUCUAUGUAUUUGAGUUAAAAACAUCUUAAUGCUGGAUGUGUUUCAUCUUUUGUCUUCUCCAGAUGUUAACUGAUGGACUGGAGUGCUGUGGAUUACUUGUGGAUUAUUGUGAUGUUUUUAUCAGCUGUUUGGACUCUCAUUCUGACGGCACCCAUUCACUGCAGAGCAUCCAUUGCUGAGACACUGAUGCAGUGCUACAUUUCUACAAAUCUGAUGAAGAAACAAACUCAUCCUGAUCUCAUAUGGGCCGAGUGUUUCAUUUAUGGGUGAACUAUUUUUUUUAGUAAAUAAACAAACUGACAGUCUGUAUGGGAUCAGACCAGUAAAGUGAUAGAAAUGUGUUUUCUAUAGAAAGAGCUUUAAUCUGUCUGAGGGAGGAGGCCUACAGCAUUUCACAGCAGACCCAGUGAGAUCUGUCAGGCAGCAGUGACCUGUGGUUUCAUUUCCUCACACUCUGAGGGCCAGCAGCCCCGUGGUUUUGUUGUGUUCACCGGUCAGAGCACGUGUCAGUGUGCGUGUGCGGCGCGCGGACAGCAGAGGACAGUGGCGCGUGCUGAAUGAUGUCCUCAACACUCAGUCUGAGAGUCUGCAGAUGAUCUCGAUUUUAUCCAGCAGUGUGAUCGACAGCAUGAGUGAGUGCGUCCAGCUGCAGCGUUCCCGCGCGCGCGUCAGUGCGGGCAGACGCGUCGCGUUCAGCAGAACUUCUCCAUCUGAUCCGGCUCUGGCGGUGGGUCUGUAGCCCCGCCCCUGCUGCCCGAUCUGUAUUUAUGGUUAUUGCAGCAGCAGUCAGUCGGUAGUGUAAGAUCCUCAGCUCACUGACGCACGCGCUCCC